UACGUAGGGGGCAAGCGUUGUCCGGAUUUAUUGGGCGUAAAGCGCGUGUAGGCGGCCGGGUAGGUCCGCUGUGAAAACUCGAGGCUCAACCUCGAGACGUCGGCGGAAACCAUCUGGCUAGAGUCCGGAAGAGGAGAGUGGAAUUCCUGGUGUAGCGGUGAAAUGCGCAGAUAUCAGGAAGAAUAUCCGUGGCGAAGGCGGCGCUCUGGGACGGUACUGACGCUGAGACGCGAAAGCGUGGGGAGCGAACAGG
rnacentral:rRNA from 1 species